GAAAGGCGCGCGAUACAGGGUGACAGCCCCGUACACAAAAAUGCACAUACUGUGAGCUCGAUGAGUAGGGCGGGACACGUGGUAUCCUGUCUGAAUAUGGGGGGACCAUCCUCCAAGGCUAAAUACUCCUGACUGACCGAUAGUGAACCAGUACCGUGAGGGAAAGGCGAAAAGAACCCCGGCGAGGGGAGUGAAAAAGAACCUGAAACCGUGUACGUACAAGCAGUGGGAGCACAGAGCAAUCUGUGUGACUGCGUACCUUUUGUAUAAUGGGUCAGCGACUUAUAUUCUGUAGCAAGGUUAACCGAAUAGGGGAGCCGAAGGGAAACCGAGUCUUAACUGGGCGUUAAGUUGCAGGGUAUAGACCCGAAACCCGGUGAUCUAGCCAUGGGCAGGUUGAAGGUUGGGUAACACUAACUGGAGGACCGAACCGACUAAUGUUGAAAAAUUAGCGGAUGACUUGUGGCUGGGGGUGAAAGGCCAAUCAAACCGGGAGAUAGCUGGUUCUCCCCGAAAGCUAUUUAGGUAGCGCCUCGUGAAUUCAUCUCCGGGGGUAGAGCACUGUUUCGGCAAGGGGGUCAUCCCGACUUACCAACCCGAUGCAAACUGCGAAUACCGGAGAAUGUUAUCACGGGAGACACACGGCGGGUGCUAACGUCCGUCGUGAAGAGGGAAACAACCCAGACCGCCAGCUAAGGUCCCAAAGUCAUGGUUAAGUGGGAAACGAUGUGGGAAGGCCCAGACAGCCAGGAUGUUGGCUUAGAAGCAGCCAUCAUUUAAAGAAAGCGUAAUAGCUCACUGGUCGAGUCGGCCUGCGCGGAAGAUGUAACGGGGCUAAACCAUGCACCGAAGCUGCGGCAGCGACGCUUAUGCGUUGUUGGGUAGGGGAGCGUUCUGUAAGCCUGCGAAGGUGUGCUGUGAGGCAUGCUGGAGGUAUCAGAAGUGCGAAUGCUGACAUAAGUAACGAUAAAGCGGGUGAAAAGCCCGCUCGCCGGAAGACCAAGGGUUCCUGUCCAACGUUAAUCGGGGCAGGGUGAGUCGACCCCUAAGGCGAGGCCGAAAGGCGUAGUCGAUGGGAAACAGGUUAAUAUUCCUGUACUUGGUGUUACUGCGAAGGGGGGACGGAGAAGGCUAUGUUGGCCGGGCGACGGUUGUCCCGGUUUAAGCGUGUAGGCUGGUUUUCCAGGCAAAUCCGGAAAAUCAAGGCUGAGGCGUGAUGACGAGGCACUACGGUGCUGAAGCAACAAAUGCCCUGCUUCCAGGAAAAGCCUCUAAGCAUCAGGUAACAUCAAAUCGUACCCCAAACCGACACAGGUGGUCAGGUAGAGAAUACCAAGGCGCUUGAGAGAACUCGGGUGAAGGAACUAGGCAAAAUGGUGCCGUAACUUCGGGAGAAGG
rnacentral:rRNA from 1 species